GCCUGAGCCACGCAGGCAGGCACCGCCCUGGUUUCUUGGUCCUUUUGAAGUUUCCUGAGGUCUGUGUAACCCAGAAACACAAUGUUAAUGACCCUCUCAGGAAAGACCAAGGUUGACAUAGGAAAGAACGGUGGGUUUCUGGGUAUGCAGAAGACCAAAGAAAUCCAGGGCUCCUUUCUCUCUGAGCAACUGGAGAAUGGGGAGCCCCAAGAGCUAUUCACUCCACAGCACAACCCUUGGACACACUUGGCAAGUGUAAGCGAGAAGAUCUCCAUGUUUUUACUUGGCAUCAAAACACCCACCUCCGCGUCCUGCCCUCUGUCCCUAUAGGACCUCUGACCCCAUUGUGUGGCACGCAGCCUCCACACCUUGACUGGUCUGGUCAAAGGCCAAGGCUAUACUGAGUUUGGAGACGGGGCCUUUCAAAUGGCUGAAUAUGUCAUGUAAUUCAAAAGUAUUUCAGGUUGUCUCCUUUUCUUGCGAUACAAAUUACUUCUCUGUGAUGAAGAGUUAAGUCCUGGCAUGGAGACUGGACAGCUGGAAAAGCACAUGGGGAACGGAAGUUCAGAAGCUCAGAUGGUUUUGUCUGUUUGCCAUCA